rnacentral:rRNA from 1 species
CCUACGGGAGGCAGCAGUGGGGAAUAUUGCGCAAUGGGCGAAAGCCUGACGCAGCGACGCCGCGUGAGGGAUGAAGGUCUUCGGAUCGUAAACCUCUGUCAGGAGGGAAGAAGUGGUUAUAUGCGAAUAGUGUAUGACUUUGACGGUACCUCCAAAGGAAGCACCGGCUAACUCCGUGCCAGCAGCCGCGGUAAUACGGAGGGUGCGAGCGUUAAUCGGAAUUACUGGGCGUAAAGCGCUCGUAGGCGGUAUGUCAAGUCAAGGGUGAAAUCCCCGCGCUCAACGUGGGAACUGCCUUUGAAACUGGCAAACUGGAGUGUGUGAGAGGAGAGUGGAAUUCCAGGUGUAGGAGUGAAAUCCGUAGAUAUCUGGAGGAACAUCAGUGGCGAAGGCGACUAGCUGGCACAUAACUGACGCUGAGGAGCGAAAGCGUGGGUAGCAAACAGGAUUAGAUACCCGGGUAGUC